GCUGAGAAUUCCAAAGUUUCUCUAACUGUCAAUUCGCCAAUGUGAAUAUCGUUUUGACUGACAUAAGCAGCAGUUCUUUGAGGUACAAAUUCAUUCAUCUCAUGACCAUUAUAAGUCACCUUCCCAGAGAACUGAUAAUGAAAUUAAAGAUUGUUACCUAGCUAGAAAUUGAAAAUGGAAAAUAUAACUAAAUAACAUGUUUUCAUUUUUCUUAAGCUACCUUUAGCUUCGGAUCAAGUUUUCCAGCCAAGGCCAAAAGGAGCGUCGUUUUUCCAGAACUUGGAGGGCCUAACAGCAAUGUCAUCCUGGAGAUGUAUCGAUUAGCAAAUGUAAGUAUAUUAAAUUAAAUAUAUUUGAUACAUAUCAUAUAUACUUGGAAUCCAUGUUCAAUUGUUACCUGCCAG
rnacentral:lncRNA from 1 species